CCCAAAUUACUGUUAGAUUAGGGCAUGCAUAUAAUGAAAGCUAAACUUCAAUCAAAAUCCCCAAAUUCAACAAUUGCUCAAAAGAAUAUAAGAUUAAGAAAAAUCAUACAGAUUAAAGCUUUUCCCUAAACCCGAUUCAAGAAUACAUGAGCUUCAAAAAUAGCGUACCCAUCUAAUUGUCCCUUCACAAAGAUUAAGGUUUUAGAUCCAACAUUUUCUUCAUCUUCUUAAUAAAAGAUUAGGGUUCCUAUGUGCCUGCUUCUGUGUGAACGAUGCUCGGCGGUUUGGGUCCUGAUUUUGCUUCUCCCCCCCCCUCCCCCCCUUCUCUCUAUGUGUGUGUUCCUCUGGCUCUCUGCUAUGUUUACUUCUCU
rnacentral:lncRNA from 1 species